GUGAACUCCGGAAGGAUCAUUA
rnacentral:rRNA from 1 species